UGUGGCUUAGUGUGGAGUACUUGUCUUUUACUCAUGAAGCCCUGGGUUUGAUUCCCAGCA
rnacentral:tRNA from 1 species